UACGAAGGGGGCUAGCGUUGUCCGGAAUCAUUGGGCGUAAAGCGCGUGUAGGCGGUUCGAUAAGUCUGCUGUGAAAGUCCAGGGCUCAACCCUGGAAAGCCGGUGGAUACUGUCGGACUAGAGUGCGGAAGAGGCGAGUGGAAUUCCCGGUGUAGCGGUGAAAUGCGCAGAUAUCGGGAGGAACACCAAUUGCGAAGGCAGCUCGCUGGGACGUUACUGACGCUGAGACGCGAAAGCGUGGGGAGCAAACAGG
rnacentral:rRNA from 1 species